AGUGGCGCAAGGGUGCGUAACACGUGGGUAAUUUGCCGCGAAGUUUGGGAUAACUCGCUGAAAGGCGAGCUAAUACCGGAUGUGACUCGAUGGGGGAAUCCCUGUUUGGUUAAAGUUGGGGACCGAAAGGCCUGACGCUUCGCGAUAAGCCCGCGGCCUAUCAGCUAGUUGGUGAGGUAACGGCUCACCAAGGCUAAGACGGGUAGCUGGUCUGAGAGGACGACCAGCCACACUGGAACUGAGACACGGUCCAGACACCUACGGGUGGCAGCAGUCGAGAAUUUUUCUCAAUGGGCGAAAGCCUGAAGGAGCGACGCCGCGUGGGGGAUGAAUGGCUUCGGCCCGUAAACCCCUGUCAUUCGCGACCAAACCUCCGCGUUUAAGAGAUGUGGAGCUGAUCGUAGCGAAAGAGGAAGGGACGGCUAACUCUGUGCCAGCAGCCGCGGUAAUACAGAGGUCCCAAGCGUUGUUCGGAUUCACUGGGCGUAAAGGGUGCGUAGGUGGUUUGGUAAGUCCGGUGUGAAAUCUCCGAGCUUAACUCGGAAAUGGCAUUGGAUACUACCAGACUUGAGGGUCGGAGGGGAGACUGGAAUUCUCGGUGUAGCAGUGAAAUGCGUAGAUAUCGAGAGGAACACCAGUGGCGAAGGCGAGUCUCUGGACGACUCCUGACACUGAGGCACGAAAGCUAGGGGAGCAAACAGGAUUAGAUACCCUGGUAGUCCUAGCCGUAAACGGUGCACAUUUGC
rnacentral:rRNA from 1 species